rnacentral:misc_RNA from 1 species
GCCCUACGGAUUCUAGGCAUGCAGAAUCUUAGUAGAGAGGUCUGGCUCCAGCUGUACUCUCUCUUUCUAAUCACGGCCUCAGCUCGGUGCACAGUCGUGCAGUCUAUCAUUAUAAGUCCGUGCGUUCAAUCAUACGUUCAAUAUACACAAGAGAUGAAGGAAAGAUAUGAUACAUAUCCAUAUAAUUGUGAGUAAUACGUUUCUAGAGGGUCGUGCGCACAGAGCACUGAAAUAUAAGCUUAUAAACGUGGAGUGGACAUGCCGAUGUUUUCCUCUGAUCUUUCAGGUCCCAGAUUACAUUGUGCUUUGCGCAAAAAAAUUAAGACAAAUACAUAUCGCCGUCUCUCUCAAUCGCAUUAGAAGUAUGCUAUCAAGUUAGGACAGGAUGUAAGCUUUCUUUCUCAAUCUGUUUGGGACACGUUUGGGACCAUGAGACACCGUGACCGCUCCAUUUAAGCUCUAUGGUCUGGGAGGUUUUUAUAGUUUCUUUUCGCUUUCAUGCUGAUGAAUUUAAUGCGUCACAACUAAUUCGAAAUGCUACAUUCAAAGCGAGACGAACAUUAUGUUAAUGAUUUUGAAUUCGUAAUGAUUCUCUUCGUAAAUUGAUAUGUGUGAAUCGGCGAAUGAAAAUAUAGUAUGAAGAGAUAUAAGAAUUUGAAAGAAUUUGCUGCAGUUGGCUAGCCUGGACGGAAUAAAUACGUAAAUACAAUAUGGCUGGUUGAAGUGAAACGUCGUCAGAGUUUUUCUGUUCGAUAUUUCAUGCUUCACUGAGUGAAAACUCUCUAUUUUAAUAGUUACAACGCGUUUGCAACGUGUGACAAUAGUUUAUUAACAAUUUUGUGCUGAAAAUUGUCAAAAAUUUUAACCUAAUUUAGCAGGAAGUGGUUGGUCAGUCGGUUUGAAGAAAUGUUGUUUUUAUUUUUUAUACCCCAGUUGACAUUCGUCGGAGUUCGCAUAAUAUACCAAUCAAAGAUGUAACGAUUGUUAUGUUAAUAUUUAAGAACUUGUGGUAUCUUGUCAACUCAACCAUGUGUACACGUGUAGUUUUAUCGUGGCAAUGAGGUAGGGCACUACUUGUAUGACAAUGGAGAUGGAUUUGGAUGGCACGAAGUGCGAAGGAGGCGGAGAAAGCAGCCCUGGAUGUUCUGGUUACUCCAGUAUGGUUCACAGUAAAAAAGUUAUCAAACACGCGCUUCGCCAGCAGGCCAAGAGGAGGAGAAAAAACACUACGAUAGCUGCUGGCAACUCUCGCACUCUUCCAAGGAUUGUUGUGAAGCCUCUUCCGCCACCUCCUCCGGAUGAUAUUCCCUUGAAUGUUGCUAAUGUCCCACGAACUCCCACAACCGAGGAACCAGCAGCUACAAUGAGGGAAGUGCUGGCAAGUCUACCUGGUUUUAGUUUGAAGUCUAGUCGUAGAAGAUCGACGAAAAGGCUUUCAGCUGCUGCUCAGUUAGAAGCUGGGUUAGUAGAUUUGGAAUCCCCAGCCAGCAUUUUGGCCAGCACCAGUCUUAGGGCUUUACUUAAUCGGUACACCUUCCAGGGACUUCCUCCUCUUUAUCAAAGGAAGCUCGCUCAGCUUUUACCAGCUGUUGAUAGACAGGAUGCUGCAACGUCUGGAUUAAACAAUGAGUUCUUUGCACGUGCCUGCCUUGAGUGGAAAAAACGUCUGGCUGAGGGUGAAUUCACCCCCGAAAAUCAACAGAGACUGAAAAUGGAAGCUGAGAGAGAUAAGAAUAAAUUAGAUCCUUGGAAGCUUAAGCAUUUUGAACCAAUAUGGGGUGAGAAACGAGAACCUAAGUUGAGAUCCGGACCGCACUCUGCAGUGGAACCAAGGCCGAUUGGAGCAGUCACACGUUCAAGUUUGCGAUUGCGCUCAGAAUCUAUACACGAUCAAACAGCACCUGAUCUUUUACCUUGUUCAGCAGCAGUCACAGAAGAAAAAGUGGCGAUAGCAAGUUACGUUUCUAAAGGUCAUAUAAUGGCGUCAAGCUUGACAACGGAGAGUCAAGCAGUGUCCCUUAAAUCAACGCAAGAAUGUGAGGAUGAUAAGGAAAUGGUGCCGAGUAAUAGUUGCAAAGAAGUACUAACACAGCAAAAACUAAAUUCAUCCAAUGUCAUAAUUAAGUCUGACCCUGAUCCAUUCAUAGAAGAAACACCUGUCAUUGUCACUAAUGAUGAAACCACGAAGUCAUCGGAACUUCGUGUGUCUGAAACUCCAGGAGAGUUAAUGUUAGAAAUAGCCAAUGGAGUAGCUGCUGAAAUUAUUAACGAAGAAAUACACAAAUCUGAGGAACCAGUUUCCGAUGUACCUGAUGAAGAGAUUUCCCGUCAAUCGGAUAAUCAUGAUUCCGAGAUAUGUAAAAUCGAAAGUAAUGUAACGACAGAGAAUUUGUCAUCUUGUGAUGGUGCCCCUCUAUCAGAACCAAUAUCAGAGAAUCAGUCUAUAAUCAAUAGUCAACCAGAAGUAGAAGAAUCAACUACAACUACAACUGUAGAUGGUGAACCACAGAUUCCAGAAGAGAUGGAGAUAGAUAGUGAAACAUUACAACGCAUACACGAAUUAGAGGUACGUGGUGAAAUGAUAGAAGCUUAUGAAGAGAUAUCAGGUUGCCCAGAAAAUAUUUAUCCUAUUUUGGCGGAUAUAGAAAUUGGUUCAAGUACAGGAGGAGGGGACGACAAUCCUGUGGUACCUGUACAAGGGCCAGUCAAUGCGGCCUCUUGCGAGAUGACCACUGGAAAUGAAGAAGAUGCUUUCAUUGACGCCAAUAAUUAUGUUCUCGAAUCACGAGAGAUUAGUACCGGGAUGCUCGAAUGCAACUGGACCGUUGAUCCCACAGUAAAUAAUGUUGGAGUAACCAGUACACAUGAGGAGCUCCAAGUACCCUGGCCCCUAGUAACCGCAGCCUUAGAUGGUUCCGUUGCCGCAAACAUAACUGUGACGACACAGGAUGACUGCAAUGAUUCAUCAACAUCCAACGAAAUUGAGAGCAUUCCCAAACAAAACAACACAAAGACUAGUAUUGCGGAAGUGAUGAACUCUGUGCAAAUUCCCGUUGACCAAAGCCCUUCCUAUGAAAGAGCUGACACAUUGACUGUUGGUACCCCUGUAACAAGCUGCCUAUUGAACAACAUUCAGUCGAAUAGCCCACCGAUAAUUGCAUUUCCUCCAUUACAGUCAAUCAGAUUUGUACAAACGAAUUUUCACACAGGACAAACAAACUCAAACUCUGUCCCGAUACAGAUUCAAAACCAGCCCAAUCCGUCCCCCCAGCUCAGCGUGGUCAGUACUCAAGAAGAGACCAUUGUUCAAAUAUCGUCGGCAAAUGUUGUUGGACAAACGAAUGUUGCAACUAGCAACGUUCUUCCACGUAAUCAGGCGCAGAGCAACCCUAUAUGUGUUCCGUCCCCGAAUCAAGGUCGAGGUCAAAGCACAAUCGUCGUCCAGCAACAGACGCCAAUUGUUGCGCAACCUCGACAGAUUGUAACUGCUACUGUCCAGCAACAAUAUGCUACAAGUGUCGUUACUGCUCCUUCGCGAUUGGCCCGUUCUACCAGCCAAGGUGGCCCGAGAGGUUCACGAAGUGGCAAUAAGGAACAAGGCGGGGGAAGGUCUAGGAGUUCCACAAAAGAACCCCCUGGUGCCGUAAAUUUGGAACGAAGCUACCAGAUUUGCCAGGCGGUGAUUCAAAGCUCGCCGAAUAGGGAUCAACUCAAGGCUCAUUUGAAACCACCCCCAAGUUUACUAGCCCGUGCUGAUGGAACUUUCACCACUAGCAAGCCUGGAGGACGUACACUAACCAGUGUCAAAACCCAGAAGGCUCAGCAAGCCUUGCAGCAUGUAAAACAUACGCAGAAUAAGGGUCAAGCAGUGAUGCUUAGACACGUAUUUGCUACCACACGGCAAGCCAUACCUGCAGAGGUGACUGAAAGUGGGGCAGUGGCUCAGCUGGGUCCCAAUGGAACAAAUGGCCUGGGGCAAUACAUCUUGGUACAAAGAACUGGAGUUGGUGACAGUGCACCUCGGGCUUCAUCGGCACCGCCGCUACCCCCCCAAAUAGCUGGAAUGGGAGUGGGACUUCAUCUGGUCAGAGGAAGGCCAGCGAGCGCCGGGGAGGGUUCUCAUCAAGCUGUAACUCUGAAGGCAAGGGGUGCCUCAGAUGGGAGAGGUGGUGGUGGUGCUGAGCCUGGUGCUCCCGGUGUUAUUAUGGGUGGUGAUCCUCCACCACCAUGUGAAUGCAAUAUGAGAGGUGCCAUGGUCAUAUGUCGUCAAUGCGGAGCCUUUUGCCAUGAUGACUGUAUUGGACCUCAACGGAUUUGCGCCACCUGCCUCAUACGUUGAUCGGUGGUUAAUGAUAAAUCAAGUAGCCAGAUAGAUGAAACCCAUAGAUCAAGCUAGAGAGGGCUAGCGUUGGAUAACAAAGCAUGAGAAGGCUGAGCGGCUGUUAGGCUUGACAUAGUUUUCAUAUCUUUGAUUGCCGGAAAUAGGUUUCAACUAUCGUUUCUUUGCUGCUAGCUCAUUUGUUGGUGAAUUUGGUGGUACUGUUUUGAAAAAACUUCCCUUAAUAUGAGAUUUUUGGAAAUUUUUUCACCACGGCCAGUACCUGUUUAUUAUCCACCCGGUUAUCGUUCAUUCAAUAUUCUUACAAGUAGAUGAACAUGGGCGUAGUGGGGACGUUGUUAUGUUUAUUGAAUUGACAUGUACUUGACAUUCAAAAAACUACCUUCCUUUGUGAAACCCUCCCAUAACCAUCACUCUAAGGCUGGUGAGUGAUGAAACAAAGUAUAAAUAAGAAAAAUAACGCGUGAAGCGUAAACAAUCAAAGCAACUUGCCAUCAUCCGUGUUAUCUCGUGUAUUUUAUUUCGAUACUUUUAAUGCUACGUACAAUCAGAGGCAUAUCCAGGCCUGGUGAUUUAUUGAGUCCCCAUUACUUUCAGUGUUAAAUAAGGGCUAAAAUUGCAUUGCAGUCCGACACCGUUAUUGUCUUCCACUAACAUCACACGCAAUCGUUCGUGAUAUCGCUAUUUAUUUAUUCCCACAGUUUUCAAUUCAUCACCCACGUUAUUGCAAAGGACAUUCUUAUUGAAAAAAAUGCGAUGAGAUGCGGCAACAGAUUAGCGUAAAACAUACAGUGAGAAGAGAGUUUAAUGAGCUUGACUCAUGUAUUUCGAUACAGUUUAACGCCUUGGAAUCAUUCUGCCGCGUCUCCUCACACGCGAUGUAUUUAGGAAACUCGUUCGUCUAAGGCAUGUCUUAUCGAGUCAUUAACGAGUGACCUAUUUAGCAUUAGCGACAUAUUAAUUAUCAUUAGAGGUAAGAUUUUCAUGUAGAUUAGCUGUGAUCCAAUGCUUAUUGUUAGAUAAAUCUGCGACGGAUGUUCGUUAUAUCGAGUCAACGAACUGGACUGAUCCUGAAAAGUGACGGAACUGACGGGGCGCAAAAAAGGCGUGACUGACUUUACGUCGAAUUCUCACAUUUUGCAGCAACAGUGAAGAACAAAGCAGAAAGGCAUUACAACAAAUGUUGACUACAACUCAUAGUACGGAUGACUGUCAACUGAUGAAGCGACGCUUCUUUUCAAUUUUUGUG